GUCAAUGGUAUCGGUCGCUACUCUUGAUAGUCCGAUAGUAUUUUUUUCAAAAAGUAAGCACUUGCUUCAUAAAGCAAUAGUUUUUGCGUACAAAAUGUUAAAAAUUUAAAUUUGCAGAUACUUAGGAUAAUUUAAUAUGGUUUUUUCUUCCGAAGUAUUUAUUGGUGAUGCUUGGGGAAAUGGGCUUAAUUAAUUCUACUUCCGCAGUACUUAUUGAUGAUGACUGGUGCUGAGGGGCCUGACACGACGUGAAAACGAGAUGACGUUGUUUUAGUAUAGAAAUAUUCCUCUAAAUGCUCAAACGCAGGCGCUCACCUACCAUACUCUUUGUUAUGAGAGAGUUUAACAGAGAUUUAUAGGUAACUAUACUUGCAAAUAUGUCCUUCUACUGUGAAAUUUCAGGGCAGCUGAUGUUGGAACAAGACCUUCAGGAUUCACAGAUGUUGUCAAGGAAACAUUAAGAGCUUUUGUUUUCAAUUUCUGAUAUCGUUGGCUAUCCAAAUUCUCACUAUAGGUAGUCCAGAGUAUACAAUUAUCAUUGCACUUUCUCCAGCAACAUAUUUUGGUUAAAGUCUAUUUAUCAUUGCCAGUAGAUUCUUCAGUACAAUUCAUUUUAUCAUUAGUAUCCUGUAAUUUAAUGGGAUUAUUUUUUGUUUUAAGUUGUAUCUAGUCAUUUUAUAUGUAUCAACAUUUUAUUUGGUUAUUUAUACCGGUUGAACAAAUUCGAAUGGGGGCGAUGGAGA